AUCCACAUGAUUCUUCUUCAUGGAUGUUGCGGUGGUUUAUCAUAAGGUGGUGCACCACGUGGCACUGGCUCAUCAGCCCAACGCCCUCUACUCUCUUCAAGUGCACUGCCAACACAUUAAUACAUUAAUUUGUUAUAUAAAUAUGAAAGUAUAAAGUAUGAAAUAUGAACUACUAUAUUCUAAACUUUCAUACUAGAAACAUGAUAUAACAUCCUUUCUAGUAUUAUAUGCUUCGUAAGUUGGUAUAUGUAGGAAUUUGUUAAACUAUGAAUAAUACUUUACUUACUUAAUACUCAGAUUUCUGAAUACCCCAUCAGUGAUUUGGAGGAUUAGGAGAACCAAACAGAAAAAGUGUACAAGAUUCCACAACAGCUUCAUUUUUACUUUCAUAUCUUCACUUGUAUCUUGUGUUUCAGCCCUUUCC
rnacentral:lncRNA from 1 species